rnacentral:misc_RNA from 1 species
UUAACGAUUUAUAUUUAUACUCAGAAAAAAUAAUUAUAAGAAUUUAAGAAAGCUACUGGUGAGCACAGACCAGGGGCUUGAAAGUCCCCGGCGACCUUUUAAAGAUGGGCUCACCAAAGCAACAUGGUAUAAUAAACAAAGGGUUUGGAGAUCGGGCCUGAAAAGACCCUAACUCGGUAAUGAUCCUUCCGCAGGUUCACCUACGGAAA